GCGGGCGUGGCGGAAUUGGUAGACGCAGCGGAUUCAAAAUCCGCCGUUGGCAACAACUUGUCGGUUCGAGUCCGACCGCCCGUACCA
rnacentral:tRNA from 1 species